CCCGCUGAACUUAAGCAUAUCAAUAAGCGGAGGAAAAGAAACCAACAGGGAUUGCCCCAGUAGCGGCGAGCGAAGCGGCAAAAGCUCAGAUUUGAAAUCUGGCCGCCCACGGCGGUCCGAGUUGUAAUCUGCAGGCGGGUUCUCUGGCGAGCGCGCACCACCUAAGUCUCCCUGGAACGGGGUGCCAUAGAGGGUGAGAGCCCCGUGAGGAGGGGCGCGCGAGCCUGUGUGAGGCCUGUCCGACGAGUCGAGUAGUUUGGGAAUGCUGCUCUAAAUGGGAGGUAUAUUCCUUCUAAAGCUAAAUACUGGCCAGAGACCGAUAGCGCACAAGUAGAGUGAUCGAAAGAUGAAAAGCACUUUGAAAAGAGGGUUAAAUAGCACGUGAAAUUGUUGAAAGGGAAGGAUUUAUGACCAGACUUUUUCUGGGCGGAUCAUCCGGUGUUCUCACCGGUGCACUUCGCUCAGUUUAGGCCAGCAUCGAUUUUCGGUGGGGGAUAAAAGCUUUAGGAAUGUGGCUCCUCCGGGAGUGUUAUAGCCUAUUGUAUAAUACCCUACUGGGGAUCGAGGUACGCGCUUCUGCAAGGAUGCUGGCGUAAUGGUUAUCAAUCACCCGUCUUGAAACACGG
rnacentral:rRNA from 1 species